rnacentral:rRNA from 1 species
GGAGGAAAGUAGGGGAUCGAAAGACCUUAUGCUUUUGGAGCGGCCGAUGUCUGAUUAGCUAGUUGGUAAGGUAAUGGCUUACCAAGGCAACGAUCAGUAGUUGGUCUGAGAGGACGGCCAGCCACACUGGGACUGAGACACGGCCCAGACUCCUACGGGAGGCAGCAGUGGGGAAUUUUGGACAAUGGGCGCAAGCCUGAUCCAGCAAUGCCGCGUGAGUGAAGAAGGCCUUCGGGUUGUAAAGCUCUUUUAGUUGAAAAGAAAAGAUCGUGACUAAUAAUCACGAUUCAUGACGGUAUCAACAGAAAAAGCACCGGCUAACUACGUGCCAGCAGCCGCGGUAAUACGUAGGGUGCAAGCGUUAAUCGGAAUUACUGGCGUAAAGGGUGCGCAGGCGGUUUUGUAAGUCAGAUGUGAAAUCCCCGGGCUUAACCUGGGAAUUGCGUUUGAAACUACAAGGCUAG